rnacentral:rRNA from 1 species
GACAGAGGGUGCAAACGUUGUUCGGAAUUACUGGGCGUAAAGCGCACGUAGGCGGCUUUGCAAGUUAGAGGUGAAAGCCCGGGGCUCAACCCCGGAAUUGCCUUUAAAACUGCAUCGCUAGAAUUGUGGAGAGGUAAGUGGAAUUCCGAGUGUAGAGGUGAAAUUCGUAGAUAUUCGGAAGAACACCAGUGGCGAAGGCGACUUACUGGACACAUAUUGACGCUGAGGUGCGAAAGCGUGGGGAGCAAACAGG